CGGUGAGUAAUGUCUGGGAAACUGCCUGAUGGAGGGGGAUAACUACUGGAAACGGUAGCUAAUACCGCAUAACGUCGCAAGACCAAAGAGGGGACCUUCGGGCCUCUUGCCAUCAGAUGUGCCCAGAUGGGAUUAGCUAGUAGGUGGGGUAACGGCUCACCUAGGCGACGAUCCCUAGCUGGUCUGAGAGGAUGACCAGCCACACUGGAACUGAGACACGGUCCAG
rnacentral:rRNA from 1 species